AGUGAACGCUGGCGGUAGGCCUAACACAUGCAAGUCGAACGGCAGCACAGUAAGAGCUUGCUCUUACGGGUGGCGAGUGGCGGACGGGUGAGGAAUACAUCGGAAUCUACUUUUUCGUGGGGGAUAACGUAGGGAAACUUACGCUAAUACCGCAUACGACCUACGGGUGAAAGCAGGGGAUCUUCGGACCUUGCGCGAUUGAAUGAGCCGAUGUCGGAUUAGCUAGUUGGCGGGGUAAAGGCCCACCAAGGCGACGAUCCGUAGCUGGUCUGAGAGGAUGAUCAGCCACACUGGAACUGAGACACGGUCCAGACUCCUACGGGAGGCAGCAGUGGGGAAUAUUGGACAAUGGGCGCAAGCCUGAUCCAGCCAUACCGCGUGGGUGAAGAAGGCCUUCGGGUUGUAAAGCCCUUUUGUUGGGAAAGAAGAGCAGCGGGUUAAUACCCCGCUGUUCUGACGGUACCCAAAGAAUAAGCACCGGCUAACUUCGUG
rnacentral:rRNA from 1 species